rnacentral:rRNA from 1 species
AAGGCCAAGGCAAUCGUUUAAAUGUCUAUCGUGAUGGGGCUAGAUUGUUGCAAAUAUUAAUCUCUAACGAGGAAUUACUAGUAAGCGCAAGUCAUCAACUUGCACUGAUUACGUCCCUGCCCUUUGUACACACCGCCCGUCGCACCUACCGAUUGAAUGGUCCGGUGAAAUCUUCGGAUUCUGCAUUUUGUUCUUUAUUGGGCAGUUUGCGGAAAAAGUUGAGUGAACCUUACCAUUUAGAGGAAGGUGAAGUCGUAACAAGGUCUCCGUAGGUGAACCUGCGGAGGGAUCAUU